AGAUUCUUUAACACAGUCCAGAGAGGCUGAGAAGGAUAACGGAUAGGACAGAAGAGAUACACGUGUGUGUCUUCGUCCUGGAAAGGAACCCCUCUAUGCUCUGGCAGGAGGGGUUUUUUCUU
rnacentral:sRNA from 1 species